UACGAAGGGGGCUAGCGUUGUUCGGAAUUACUGGGCGUAAAGCGCGCGCAGGCGGUCUUCCAAGUCAGUGGUGAAAGCCCGGAGCUCAACUCCGGAAUUGCCAUUGAAACUGUGAGACUGGAGUACGAGAGAGGUGAGUGGAAUUCCCAGUGUAGAGGUGAAAUUCGUAGAUAUUGGGAAGAACACCGGUGGCGAAGGCGGCUCACUGGCUCGUAACUGACGCUCAGGCGCGACAGCGUGGGGAUCGAACAGG
rnacentral:rRNA from 1 species